UAGUCCACGCCGUAAACGAUGGAUGCUAGCCGUUGGGCCUCAGGCUCAGUGGCGACGCUAACGCAUUAAGCAUCCCGCCUGGGGAGUACGGUCGCAAGAUUAAAACUCAAAGGAAUUGACGGGGACCCGCACAAGCGGUGGAGCAUGUGGUUUAAUUCGAGGCAACGCGAAGAACCUUACCAGGGCUUGACAUGCCGGUCGCGAAUCGUAGAGAUACUUUUCUUCAGCUUGGCUGGACCGUGCACAGGUGCUGCACGGCUGUCGUCAGCUCGUGUCGUGAGAUGUUGGGUUAAGUCCCGCAACGAGCGCAACCCUCAUCCUUAGUUGCUAACAUUUAGUUGAGAACUCUAAGGAAACUGCCGGAGUUAAUCCGGGAGGAAGGUGGGGAUGACGUCAAGUCUUCAUGGCCCUUACGCCCUGGGGCUACACACGUGCUACAAUGGUGGUGACAAUGCGCAGCGACGUCGCAAGGGCGAAGCGAAUC
rnacentral:rRNA from 1 species